rnacentral:rRNA from 1 species
UCUAUCAAGCUUGCUUGAGAAAGUUAGUGGCAAACGGGUGAGUAAUACAUAGGAAUCUACCUAACAGUAUGGAAUAACUCUAGGAAACCAGAGCUAAUACCAUAUAUUACCGAUUUAUCGGGAAAGAUUUUAUCGCUGUUAGAUGAGCCUGUGGCGGAUUAGCUUGUUGGUGGGGUAAUGGCCUACCAAGGCGAUGAUCUGUAGCUGGUCUGAGAGGAUGAUCAGCCACACUGGGACUGCGACACGGCCCAGACUUC